AUUGAACGCUGGCGGCAGGCUUAACACAUGUAAGUCGAGCGGGGUGAUGGUGCUUGCACUAUCACUUAGCGGCGGACGGGUGAGUAAUGCUUAGGAAUCUGCCUAUUAGUGGGGGACAACAUCUCGAAAGGGAUGCUAAUACCGCAUACGUCCUACGGGAGAAAGCAGGGGAUCACUUGUGACCUUGCGCUAAUAGAUGAGCCUAAGUCGGAUUAGCUAGUUGGUGGGGUAAAGGCCUACCAAGGCGUCGAUCUGUAGCGGGUCUGAGAGGAUGAUCCGCCACACUGGGACUGAGACACGGCCCAGACUCCUACGGGAGGCAGCAGUGGGGAAUAUUGGACAAUGGGGGGAACCCUGAUCCAGCCAUGCCGCGUGUGUGAAGAAGGCCUUAUGGUUGUAAAGCACUUUAAGCGAGGAGGAGGCUCUUUUGGUUAAUACCCAAGAUGAGUGGACGUUACUCGCAGAAUAAGCACCGGCUAACUCUGUGCCAGCAGCCGCCGUAA
rnacentral:rRNA from 1 species